GUGUAACGUCACAAAGCCAUACUGAACAAAGAUGGUGUCAAUCACAGCUGUGAGAACAUAAACACUUUCAUUGUUUUAUUUAUUUUAACUAGUCUCGUCAGAGCAGCAGUUUUCGAUCUUCGCGUCGUCAGUGUUCCAUAGUCGCAGCCCUGCAUUCCAAAAAAGAAGACGAGUACUUCACCAUGAGCUCAGAUGAUGGUGAGAUGGAGAACCAGGCUGAGCUGGAGGAGAAGACAAGGCUCAUCAAUCAGGUGUUGGAGCUUCAACACACUUUAGAGGGUACCACACACACACACACACACAC